rnacentral:rRNA from 1 species
AUGGCCAACACUACAAUGGGAAGUACCACUCGAUCAUGCGAUGUGUACCUGCUGUUCAAUGGCGAAACACUGCUUCCAAAUGGUGUCCGUGCUUUCCUUUGUACUGUUGCCCUAGCGUACUGUUUUAUUGGUUUAUCCGCGAUCACUGCCCGGUUCUUCAAGUCGAUGGAGAGCAUCACAAACCACUCUCGGGAGGUAGUUACAAUUGAUACAGAAACAAAUACGCCUAUCGUGAAGCAUGAGAAGGUUUGGAACUACACUAUAGCGGACAUUGCUCUGCUUGCUUUUGGUACCAGCUUUCCCCAGAUCUCCCUUGCAACAAUCGAUGCAAUCCGUAAUCUCGGUCAACUGACAGCAGGAGGUUUAGGUCCAGGUACACUUGUGGGUUCUGCUGCGUUCGAUCUGUUCCCGAUCCAUGCUGUCUGUGUGGUUAUGCCAAGGGCAGGCUCUAUGAAAAAGAUUUCCGAUUUAGGUGUUUGGUUAGUUGAGCUGUUUUGGUCAUUCUGGGCAUACAUCUGGCUGUAUAUUAUUUUAGAGGUGUGGACACCUAAUGUGAUCACCCUCUGGGAGGCCCUGGUAACAGUUUUGCAGUAUGGAUUACUUUUGGUUCAUGCGUAUGCGCAGGAUAAGCGGUGGCCAUAUGUGUCAAUCCCUUUGGUCAGAGGUGAGAGACCUGAAGAUUGGGUUCCAGCAGAAGAUACUUCACUUCACCAUGACAAAAAUUGUGAUGAAAAUAGUAACAUACUACCCAGCGAGAAUGAUGAUGUGGAUAUAUUCUCCAUUCAUUCUUACAGCAAUGCAGAUUUCCCAUGUCUCAGCAGCAUGGGGGAGCCGGUGUCCUCGGCCGGAGUUGCAUCUACUUGCGGGCGACCUCACUGUGACGAUCACAUCUACAGAUUCGGAGGUACAAACGACUGGUAA